AUUUAUAUAGUUUAAAAAAAACAUUACAUUUUCACUG
rnacentral:tRNA from 1 species